UGUAGCUCAUUGGCAGAGCACUUGUCUAUCAUGCAUGAAACCCUGAGUUCAAUCCUCAGUA
rnacentral:tRNA from 1 species